rnacentral:rRNA from 1 species
ACGGGAGGCAGCAGUGGGGGAUAUUGCACAAUGGGGGAAACCCUGAUGCAGCGACGCCGCGUGAGUGAAGAAGUAUUUCGGUAUGUAAAGCUCUAUCAGCAGGGAAGAUAAUGACGGUACCUGACUAAGAAGCCCCGGCUAACUACGUGCCAGCAGCCGCGGUAGUACGUAGGGGGCAAGCGUUAUCCGGAUCUACUGGGUGUAAGGGAGCGUAGACGGCAAGGCAAGUCUGAUGUGAAAACCCAAGGCUCAACCAUGGGACUGCAUUGGAAACUGUCUAGCUAGAGUGCAGGAGAGGUAAGUGGAAUUCCUAGUGUAGCGGUGAAAUGCGUAGAUAUUAGGAGGAACACCAGUGGCGAAGGCGGCUUACUGGACUGUAACUGACGUUGAGGCUCGAAAGCGUGGGGAGCAAACAGGAUUAGAUACCCUGGUA